UGCAGGUUUAACCUUCAUGCAUGUUUCUAUUCAGUCGAUGUCGAUAAGGGCCGCGACGCCUUUGUUGCAUUUUGAUGAUCUUUGAAAUAAGAGUUUGAAAGCAAGAGGAAUUGGAAACUGCGAAGGAGUGAUAAAUUUCUCUAAUGCAACUAGAAAGGUCAACCUGGGACCUGGGGCAGGGUUUAAGAAAAAUUAGAGGAAGUUACAACUCGGGGUGAUCUGGUGACUCGGUUAAACCCGGUAAAAAAUUUAGUUGUAAUUUGUUGUUUAUUUAUUUUUAUUUUUUACUAAAAUGAUGUCGUUUUGAUUUAUAUAAAAAAAUAAAUUUUAAUUUAUAUAAAAAAUAGAAUUGACCUGAGUGACUUAGUUAAAAUAUGAUAAUCUAAAAAAACUUGUGAUCCAGAUCUUGAGUUAGGUUGAUUAGCACAUUGGGUUUCAAAACUAAGACUGGGUUUCAAAACUAAGACUGAAUGAGGAAGAAAGUAUGCCGGCCAUUGUAAAACGACAACGUGGAGACAAUCUAUAACUUGUUGCCGACAGACAGGCUAUGCAAAGCCACUGGGGCAAGCUUUAUCCACCAUUGCGUUGAGCCAACGUGAUUUGAGCUGUUUUACUUUUUUUACUUUACACCCUUUUGCUUUGCAAUGCAAUUCUUCAAUGAAAAGAGAAAAUACCAAACUCUCAAAAGCACGCUUCCAUGGUAUCUCACUGUUUCCUAUUUUUGUCUUCGAGUACGGUUCCCUAGCAAUCUGUUUCAUUUGUAGUUCUUUCAUUGCGGUUGAACUAUAGUUUAUUAUUUUUAUAAAUUAAUUUAUUUUUG